GACGAACGCUGGCGGCGUGCUUAACACAUGCAAGUCGAACGGUAAGGCCCUUCGGGAUACACGAGUGGCGAACGGGUGAGUAACACGUGGGUGAUCUGCCCUGCACUUCGGGAUAAGCCUGGGAAACUGGGUCUAAUACCGGAUAGGACCACUGCCUGCAUGGGUGGUGGCGGAAAGCUUUUGCGGUGUGGGAUGGGCCCGCGGCCUAUCAGCUUGUUGGUGGGGUGAUGGCCUACCAAGGCGACGACGGGUAGCCGGCCUGAGAGGGUGACCAGCCACACUGGGACUGAGAUACGGCCCAGACUCCUACGGGAGGCAGCAGUGGGGAAUAUUGCACAAUGGGCGCAAGCCUGAUGCAGCAACGCCGCGUGAGGGAUGACGGCCUUCGGGUUGCAAACCUCUUUCAGCACCGACGAAGCGCAAGUGACGGUAGGUGCAGAAGAAGGACCGGCCAACUACGUGCCAGCCGCCGCAGUAA
rnacentral:rRNA from 1 species